rnacentral:rRNA from 1 species
AUGCUUCUCCCGCUGCAAAGCUCCACCACGCCGGCGACCCCUCCGACCGCCUUGCCGCCUUCCCCGCACCCCUUCUCCUCGCCCGCCUCCUCGUCUACCCAGCACCGCCGCCUCGCCAGCUCCUCCGCCGGAUCUCGCCUCCGCCAGAGCUGGCAGCAGCAACAGCUGCACCCUCCCCGAUGCCAUCUCGUGCUCGCCUCCGACCCGAUUCGCUGCCGCCGCCAUCCUUCAUGCCUCCACGCGGUUCCCCUCACCGCACCUCUCCGAGCAGGAGCUCCGCCUCCCCUGCUCCGCACCAACCGGCGCCGAGCGUUGCUCCUCCCGGCCUCCUCGCGCCCAUCCGCCCCUGCUGGUGUUGCUCAGCUCCGGCCCCGACCUCCAUCUCUCGACAGCAGCGUUGCCCACUGCUUUUUCGCCCGUGCUGGUGACCCCUCGGGCCGCCGCGUUGCCAUUUGCCGGAGAUCACGCCCCCUUCUUGCCUCCUCCUCCGAGAUCCUGCUCCUGCCUUUGCUGCCCGACAUCGCGACCUCCCCUCCAUGGCCACCUCUGCUCGCGUCGCCCUCCCUGCGUGUCCCACACAUUGUGCCGUUUUCACGGUACCUCCCCGAACAGGAGCAAUUUUGA